rnacentral:rRNA from 1 species
CGGCAGGCCUAAUACAUGCAAGUCGAACGGUUGUAUUUAUACAAUAGUGGCGCACGGGUGCGUAACACGUAUGAAACCUACCUUAUAGACGGGGAUAGCCUUUGGAAACGGAGAUUAAUACCCGAUGGUAUAUUUGAAGGGCAUCCUUUAGAUAUUAAAGAUUUAUCGCUAUAAGCUGGUCAUGCGUCCAAUUAGUUAGUUGGUGAGGUAAUGGCUCACCAAGACGAUGAUUGGUAGGGGAACUGAGAGGUUAAUCCCCCACACUGGCACUGAGAUACGGGCCAGACUCCUACGGGAGG